GAAUGGCGGCAAUUGAAAAUAGAAGCUUGAACUAUGCAAACGUCUAUUAUUUAUCAGAAAACUAUCUACAACUGCUUAGCAGUCUGUGCAGACUGUCUUGAAUCUCUUAAAUAAUGCUGAUAUCAUAAUCAUCCAAUAGUGUGUACCAGAAGAAUAGUUCAGUCAUUUUUAUACAUACUCACAUACCUGCAACUGAUGCAAUGAUUUUCAAAGCUGUUGGCUGGGAUAUUUCAAGUUUUCCAAACAUUGAGAGAUGGCUGAAAGAAUGUUCCCAAUUGCCAGGAGCAGCCGAAAACGACGAAGGUGCUAAAGCUUUUGGUGAAGCUGUGAAAAAGAAUCUGAAAUAAAA